rnacentral:misc_RNA from 1 species
UACGGAGGGUGCAAGCAUUAAUCGGAUUCAUUGGGCGUAAAGGGGGCGUAGGCGGAAAUGCAAGCCAGAUGUGAAAUCCCGGGGCUCAACCCCGGAACUGCAUUUGGAACUGCAUUUCUAGAGGAUAGGCGGAGAAAACGGAAUUCCACAUGUAGCGGUGAAAUGCGUAGAUAUGUGGAAGAACACCGGUGGCGAAAGCGGUUUUCUAGCUUAUUCCUGACGCUGAGGCCCGAAAGCUAGGGGAGCAAACAGG